rnacentral:rRNA from 1 species
UACGAAGGGGGCUAGCGUUGCUCGGAAUCACUGGGCGUAAAGCGCACGUAGGCGGACUCUUAAGUCGGGGGUGAAAGCCCGGGGCUCAACCUCGGAAUUGCCUUCGAUACUGGACAUCUUGAGUACGGGAGAGGUGAGUGGAACUCCGAGUGUAGAGGUGAAAUUCGUAGAUAUUCGGAAGAACACCAGUGGCGAAGGCGGCUCUCUGGACCGUAACUGACGCUGAGGCGCGAAAGCGUGGGGAGCAAACAGG